CCUACGGGCGGCAGCAGUGAGGAAUAUUGGUCAAUGGACGAGAGUCUGAACCAGCCAAGUAGCGUGAAGGAUGACUGCCCUAUGGGUUGUAAACUUCUUUUAUAAAGGAAUAAAACGAGGCACGUGUGCCUUUUUGCAUGUACUUUAUGAAUAAGGAUCGGCUAACUCCGUGCCAGCAGCCGCGGUAAUACGGAGGAUCCGAGCGUUAUCCGGAUUUAUUGGGUUUAAAGGGAGCGUAGAUGGGUUGUUAAGUCAGUUGUGAAAGUUUGCGGCUUAACCGUAAAAUUGCAAUUGAUACUGGCAGUCGUGAGUACAGUUGAGGUAGGCGGAAUUCGUGGUGUAGCGGUGAAAUGCUUAGAUAUCACGAAGAACCCCGAUUGCGAAGGCAGCUUACUAAACUGUGACUGACAUUGAUGCUCGAAAGUGUGGGUAUCAAACAGGAUUAGAUACCCGAGUAGUC
rnacentral:rRNA from 1 species